rnacentral:rRNA from 1 species
GAUGAACGCUGACAGAAUGCUUAACACAUGCAAGUCAACUUGAAUUUGGGCUUUUAACUUAGGUUUGGGUGGCGGACGGGUGAGUAACGCGUAAAGAACUUGCCUCCCAGCUAGGGACAACAUUUGGAAACGAAUGCUAAUACCUAAUAUUAUGAUAAUAGGGCAUCCUAUAAUUAUGAAAGCUAUAAGCGCUGUGAGAGAGCUUUGCGUCCCAUUAGCUAGUUGGAGAGGUAACGGCUCACCAAGGCGAUGAUGGGUAGCCGGCCUGAGAGGGUGAUCGGCCACAAGGGGACUGAGACACGGCCCUUACUCCUACGGGAGGCAGCAGUGGGGAAUAUUGGACAAUGGACCGAGAGUCUGAUCCAGCAAUUCUGUGUGCACGAUGAAGUUUUUCGGAAUGUAAAGUGCUUUCAGUUGGGAAGAAACAAAUGACGGUACCAACAGAAGAAGUGACGGCUAAAUACGUG